rnacentral:rRNA from 1 species
GACGAACGCUGGCGGCGUGCUUAACACAUGCAAGUCGAACGGAAAGGCCCUGCUUUUGUGGGGUGCUCGAGUGGCGAACGGGUGAGUAACACGUGAGUAACCUGCCCUUGACUUUGGGAUAACUUCAGGAAACUGGGGCUAAUACCGGAUAGGAGCUCCUGCUGCAUGGUGGGGGUUGGAAAGUUUCGGCGGUUGGGGAUGGACUCGCGGCUUAUCAGCUUGUUGGUGGGGUAGUGGCUUACCAAGGCUUUGACGGGUAGCCGGCCUGAGAGGGUGACCGGCCACAUUGGGACUGAGAUACGGCCCAGACUCCUACGGGAGGCAGCAGUGGGGAAUAUUGCACAAUGGGCGGAAGCCUGAUGCAGCAACGCCGCGUGCGGGAUGACGGCCUUCGGGUUGUAAACCGCUUUCGCCUGUGACGAGGCGUGAGUGACGGUAAUGGGUAAAGAAGCACCGGCUAGCUACGUG